rnacentral:lncRNA from 13 species
AUGAGUCAGAUACCAGGAAAUAAGUUAAAUGGAACAACCGAUUCAAUGUGCCAAGAAAGCCUUCAACAGAAAGUGCAAGCCCUUCAGCAUCUUGAAACAGAGACUUUAGGCAAGAGAAACCACCUCUGUGAAGAAGCAGCCCCUGCAAAAGACUAUAUUCAGCAUCCAUGCUGCUCACAAAUGUUUAAUGAGGCUCCACCACAGAGGAACAUGGAGUUUUUUGAAGAACAAGCUGUCUGCCACGCUGCAAACUCCACCAGACAGGCUUUGGACAAGCAACCAUUGACUGAGAGAAAAACUCCAUCAUUAACAACUGCUGUGUUAUCACUUCUGGAGAGAGUACAAAAAGGUGCCAACACAGACAAACAUAAGGCAGAGAUCACAUCAGAAAUACUGAAGAAAACAGGAAAAUCUUUGGGUGUAUCUACUGGGAAAAAUUCUUCAGGAAAAUCUGGACCACAAACGGACAACAGAAGAUAA